rnacentral:rRNA from 1 species
GAUGAACGCUGGCGGCGUGCCUAAUACAUGCAAGUCGAGCGAACAGACGAGGAGCUUGCUCCCCUGACGUUAGCGGCGGACGGGUGAGUAACACGUGGAUAACCUACCUAUAAGACUGGGAUAACUUUGGGAAACCGGAGCUAAUACCGGAUAAUAUAUUGAACCGCAUGGUUCAAUCGUUAAAGACGGUUUUGCUUUCACUUAUAGAUGGAUCCGCGCCUCAUUAGCUAGUUGGUAAGGUAACAGCUUACCAAGGCAACGAUGCGUAACCGACCAGAAAGGGGGAGCGGCCAAGCUGGAACGGGAGCACGGUCCAGACUCCUACGAGAGGGAGCAGGAGGAAAUCUUCCCGGAUGGGAGAAGGGGUGACGGAGCAACGCCGCGUGAGUGAUGAAGGUAUUCAGAUCGUAAAACUCAGUAAGGAGGUAGGAACGAAAGGGUAAGUAACUAGGCACGUCAAGAAGGUUCCUGAGCAGAUAGACACGGCUAACUACGGG